rnacentral:pre_miRNA from 1 species
AUAUAAGUUACCUGGGGAACUUGUUAAAAUGCGGAUUCUGAAUCAGAAAAUCUGGGGUGGUGCCUGAGAUUCUGCUUUUCUAACCAGCUCCUAGGCGAUGCCAGU